rnacentral:rRNA from 1 species
CCCUUAGAUGUUCUGGGCCGCACGCGUGCUACACUGAGUAAAUCAAUGGGUAAGGGAACACGAAAGUGCAACCUAAUCUUGAAAUUUGCUCGUGAUGGGGAUCGACGGUUGCAAUUUUCCGUCGUGAACGAGGAAUACCUUGUAGGCGCGUGUCAUCAUCACGCGCCGAAUACGUCCCUGCCCUUUGUACACACCGCCCGUCGCUCCUACCGAUUGAGUGCUCCGGUGAACAAUUUGGACUGCUUUGAUUCGAUUAGAAUUUGAAGCGGAAAGUUUAGUGAACCUUAUCACUUAGAGGAAGGAGAAGUCGUAACA